rnacentral:rRNA from 1 species
GCAAGCUUUACACAUGCAAGUCGAACGGGCUUGGGGGCUUGCUCCCGGGUUAGUGGCGAACGGGUGAGUAAUAUAUCGGAACAUAUCCGGAAGUGGGGGAUAACGUAGCGAAAGUUACGCUAAUACCGCAUAUGCCCUGAGGGGGAAAGGGGGGGAUCGCAAGACCUCUCGCUUUCGGAGUGGCCGAUACCGGAUUAGCUAGAUGGUGAGGUAAAGGCUCACCAUGGCGACGAUCCGUAGCUGGUCUGAGAGGACGACCAGCCACACUGGAACUGAGACACGGUCCAGACUCCUACGGGAGGCAGCAGUGGGGAAUUUUGGACAAUGGGCGAAAGCCUGAUCCAGCCAUACCGCGUGAGUGAAGAAGGCCUUCGGGUUGUAAAGCUCUUUCAGCCGGAAAGAAAUCGCACUUUUUAAUACGGAGUGUGGAUGACGGUACCGGAAGAAGAAGCACCGGCUAACUACGUGCCAGCAGCCGCGGUAAUACGUAGGGUGCGAGCGUUAAUCGGAAUUACUGGGCGUAAAGCGUGCGCAGGCGGUUUGAUAAGCCAGAUGUGAAAUCCCCGGGCUUAACCUGGGAACUGCAUUUGGAACUGUCAGACUAGAGUGUAGCAGAGGGGGGUAGAAUUCCACGUGUAGCAGUGAAAUGCGUAGAUAUGUGGAGGAAUACCAAUGGCGAAGGCAGCCCCCUGGGUUAACACUGACGCUCAUGCACGAAAGCGUGGGGAGCAAACAGGAUUAGAUACCCUGGUAGUCCACGCCCUAAACGAUGUCAACUAGUUGUUGGGGGAGGAGACUUCCUUAGUA